AGUGAACGCUGGCGGCAGGCCUAACACAUGCAAGUCGAACGGCAGCACAGCAGUAGCAAUACUGUGGGUGGCGAGUGGCGGACGGGUGAGGAAUACAUCGGAAUCUGCCUAGUCGUGGGGGAUAACGUAGGGAAACUUACGCUAAUACCGCAUACGACCUACGGGUGAAAGACGGGGAGUCGCAAGACCUCGCGCGAUUAGAUGAGCCGAUGUCCGAUUAGCUAGUUGGCGGGGGUAAGUGGCCACCAAGGCGACGAUCGGUAGCUGGUCUGAGAGGAUGAUCAGCCACACUGGAACUGAGACACGGUCCAGACUCCUACGGGAGGCAGCAGU
rnacentral:rRNA from 1 species